rnacentral:rRNA from 1 species
ACGGUCCUAAGGUAGCGAAAUUCCUUGUCGGGUAAGUUCCGACCUGCACGAAUGGCAUAAUGAUGGCCAGGCUGUCUCCACCCGAGACUCAGUGAAAUUGAAAUCGCCGUGAAGAUGCGGUGUACCCGCGGCUAGACGGAAAGACCCCGUGAACCUUUACUAUAGCUUGACACUGAACAUUGAAUUUUGAUGUGUAGGAUAGGUGGGAGACUUUGAAGUAGUCACGCCAGUGAUUAUGGAGUCGUCCUUGAAAUACCACCCUUUAACGUUUGAUGUUCUAACGAAGAUUACGAAACGUGGUCUCGGACAGUGUCUGGUGGGUAGUUUGACUGGGGCGGUCUCCUCCCAAAGAGUAACGGAGGAGCACGAAGGUUUGCUAAUGACGGUCGGACAUCGUCAGGUUAGUGCAAUGGUAUAAGCAAGCUUAACUGCGAGACAGACAAGUCGAGCAGGUACGAAAGUAGGUCAUAGUGAUCCGGUGGUUCUGAAUGGAAGGGCCAUCGCUCAACGGAUAAAAGGUACUCCGGGGAUAACAGGCUGAUACCGCCCAAGAGUUCAUAUCGACGGCGGUGUUUGGCACCUCGAUGUCGGCUCAUCACAUCCUGGGGCUGAAGUAGGUCCCAAGGGUAUGGCUGUUCGCCAUUUAAAGUGGUACGCGAGCUGGGUUUAGAACGUCGUGAGACAGUUCGGUCCCUAUCUGCCGUGGGCGUUGGAGAAUUGAUUGGGGCUGCUCCUAGUACGAGAGGACCGGAGUGGACGCACCACUGGUGUUCCGGUUGUGUCGCCAGACGCAUUGCCGGGUAGCUAAGUGCGGAAGAGAUAAGUGCUGAAAGCAUCUAAGCACGAAACUUGCCAAGAGAUGAGUUCUCCCACACAUCAAGUGUGUAAGGGUUGUUUAAGACUAAGACGUAGAUAGGCAGGGUGUGUAAGUGAUGUGAGUCAUUGAGCUAACCUGUACUAAUUGCCCGAGAGGCUUAACUAU